AUACAGAGGGUGCAAGCGUUAUUCGGAAGUACUGGGCGUAAAGCGCGCGUAGGCGGAUGAUUAAGUCAGUUGUGAAAGCCCUGGGCUCAACCUAGGAACUGCAUCUGAUACUGGUCGUCUAGAGUUUAAGAGAGGGAAGUGGAAUUCCAGGUGUAGCAGUUAAAUGCGUAGAUAUCUGGAGGAACAUCAGUGGCGAAGGCGACUUCCUGGCUUAAAACUGACGCUGAGGUGCGAAAGCGUGGGUAGCGAACGGGAUUAGAAACCCUUGUAGUCC
rnacentral:rRNA from 1 species